rnacentral:rRNA from 1 species
GUCUACGGCCAUGCUACCCCGAACAAGCCCGAUCCCAUCUGAUCUCGGAAGCUAAGCAGGCUCGGGCCUGGUUAGUAAUUGGAUGGGAGACCAUCUAGGAAGACCAGGUGCUGUAGGCG